rnacentral:rRNA from 1 species
UACGAACUGUGCAAACGUUAUUCGGAUUCACUGGGCUUAAAGGGUGCGUAGGCGGCCAUGUAAGUAGGGUGUGAAAUCCCCCCGGCUUAACCGGGGAACUGCGCCCUAAACUGUAUGGCUGGAGUGAGAUAGGGGUGUGUGGAACUUCCGGUGGAGCGGUGAAUGUGUUGAUAUCGGAAGGAACGCCGGUGGCGAAAGCGACACACUGGGUCUCAACUGACGCUGAGGCACGAAAGCCAGGGGAGCGAACGGGG